GGAUGUAAGGUAAUGUGGCUCUGUCUGUCACUCCGUUGUUGUGAGGGUUGACCUGCUGAGCUGGCUGGCAAGGGAAGCAGCCUCCCCUUCCCUCACAGCUCCAUGUCCACCACAGCAGAGUUGAGCAACACGGGACUGUUCUCCUGGGAAGAGAUAAAGUAGACGCUCCUUGCCUAGAACCCCCAACACAUUCUCACAGUGCAGGUUUGCUUUGCUGGGGCGGUUUAGCCAGGUGAAUUAUUGUUGCCUCAUUUUCUAUUUUGUUUUGAGAUAGGGUCUCUCUAUGUAGCCUAGGCUGUCCUAGAAC
ensembl:misc_RNA Gm22146 predicted gene, 22146